UGAAACAGGGGUGGCUUAGCACACGAUGAAAGGAGCCCGGGAGACAUGAAUUGUGUUGUUUGCUUGUGUUGUCUCUGUUGUCGUCUUCUUCUUUCUUUUACUUACAUUUACAUACGAAGGAAAAGAAGAUGAAGAGUUAGAGACAUUGCAGCAGGCAAUGUCCUCUUAAACUCUACUUCCAAGGUUGAAGAGCUAAAUGAAAUGUGGUUAAUUGAUGGUAAUCAAACUUUUCCCUUUCAUAGAACAACCAAUUGGAGAGUCCAAAUCAGACUCAGCAAGAGAGCAGCAAGAACACAUAAUGCAGCAGCAGAGAAUACAAGAUGCCAUCACCAACCAUGAAUCUUUCUGCCACAGUUUUUAUUUGGACACAGGUCUCAUUGUUUUCAGUGAAUCCUCUGAUUCAGAUCUCAGAACUAAGUACUCUUCUCAGCAUUUUUCAUCAGCUCUUUUAAGCCUCUCUGUCCAUCUCCCAAUGCUACUAUACCAACACAAACACAUAAUUCACAGCAUUUCAAUACUGGUGGAGUUAUUGAGCAUGCAGGCACCUGAAAAUGAGCAUGAUUGAAGCUUGAAUGCAAGUGAAUGCAUCAAAUUCUGCAGAUGUUAUCGGUGCACUGAUGAGGAGGAGAAGAGCAAGGGAAAAGAGUGGAUUGUUGGAGUGGGCAAGCAGUUCUUCUCAUGCUGAGGUGAAGGUGGUCAAGGUCGGUGCUGGGUCAGCAAUGGAAGCUGAGAAGAGAAGAGUGGCAGCUAGAUCUUGACAUUUAUUGGAUCGAUCCUUCCUCAUCCUCUCUGCAAAAGUUUCACAUGCCAUGAACAAUUCUUUUCUACUGUUGUCUACUAACAACAGGGAGUUUGGAGUCUUUCAUUUAGAUUCCAUUAAAGGUUUGGAUUCUUUGAUGGAGAUGGUAUGGGACAAACACAGCUUUAGACAGAGCCUCAAAGUGUGUCACAGCAGAGUCAUAAGUUUCAAUCCUUUUUGGUUUCUUGUGAAGACUGAUCGUACAGCUGAUGAGUCUUCCUGGAAGAGUGUCGAUGCAUCAAGCCAUGAAAUAAUGAGCUCAUGAAUGCCCCCAUCGCCAGAUCUUAUGUACAAGCUUUGCUAAAGCCAAUUCAAAGCAAACUUUGAACAUCCAAGAGCUCUCUUCUUAUCCUCACCAGCUGUCAUUUCACAAGAGCUACAUAUGCAGAUUAAACAGAGAAAAAGAAAGCAGAAGCAACAUUUCUGAACUGGUUUCACAUGGAUGGAUCAGAUGAGCAGCAGUGCAGGACAAGAACUAGAAGAGAGGAUACGGAGAGAGGUACAUGACGGUGUUUUCAUAGAGCCUGAGGGACAGUAGAAGCUAAAAGAGUCGGCCACCGGGAAGGUGACGGUGAUGGUAUUCAUCCAUUCUGUUUUCAUGGCACAUUUUGCCCCUGGUCAAACCAGGUGUUCUUCCUGGUAGCCUUCUUGCUGCCAUGGGUGAGAUUGGCAUAGCUUCAAAGUGGCCAUAAAAGUAGAGGGUGAGUCAAAGAUCUCUGUAUGCAUGAAUUCACCGCAUGAGCAAUGUGGAACACAACUUAAACAACA